UUAAAAGGAAUUGACGGGGGCCCGGCACAAGCGGAGGAGCAUGUGGUUUAAUUCGAUGAUACGCGAGGAACCUUACCUGGGCUCGAACGUAAGAUGACUGUAGGUGAAAGCUUACAUCUCUUCGGAGCAUUUUACGAGGUGCUGCAUGGUUGUCGUCAGCUCGUGCCGUGAGGUGUCGGGUUAAGUCCCAUAACGAGCGCAACCCCUACCUUUAGUUGCCAUCAGGUUAAGCUGGGGACUCUAAAGGAACCGCCUACGCAAGUAGUGAGGAAGGCGGGGAUGACGUCAAAUCAGCACGGCCCUUACGUCCAGGGCUACACACGUGCUACAAUGGCCGAUACAGAGGGCAGCUACCUGGUGACAGGAUGCAAAUCUCCAAAGUCGGUCUCAGUUCGGAUCGGAGUCUGCAACCCGACUCCGUGAAGUUGGAUUCGCUAGUAAUCGCGCAUCAGCCAUGGCGCGGUGAAUACGUUCCCGGGCCUU
rnacentral:rRNA from 1 species